AGUGCAGCUCUUGGGGGCUUUUGUGGGAGGUGGGGGAAGGGACUGAGGGGCUGCCCUCUGUCCCUUCCCCCACCCCCCACAAAAGCCCCCAAGAGCCGCACU